GGACUGCUGAGGAGUCCCACACUCGGGACGAAACGGCAGUCCAGUAC
rnacentral:hammerhead_ribozyme from 1 species